CAGCGAGGAGUAACUACUCGGCGUCGGUUCAUUGCUUGUGGGAGAGAGUCAUCUCGCGCAGCUCGGCUGCGUCCACCUGCGCUCGGAGGUUGCUGGGCCUGUAGUACCCCGUCACCGGGUCCGGGACCCAAGAAUUCGACGAAGCAGAGGUGGAGGAGGAGGCGGCGGUGGUCGAGGAGUCUACCACCUUGCGCGCCACCGUUUUCUGCUCCACGGACCUUCUCACACCAGCCGCCGCCGCCGCUGCCGCAGCGUAUCCCCUCCUGGAUGAAUCGAACGGAGCAGGAGUAAGUAAUGGUCCAAUUAUAGAUUAUAGAUUAUAGAUAGAUGAUGAUGAUUGGUAUAUCAGUUACCGGUUAACCAAGAGGGCGAUGUUUUGAGAGACGGACGCAGCGAGAGCAGCAGCACUAGAGAGAGAGCGAGCCAUCUGCCCUCUUCGUUUUAUCACCUUAAUUUCUCUAGCUAGUAGAAAGAAAGAGAAGAGAUGGACGAACAGGAAGAGGUCCUUCUCUUCGUGUUGUUGUGCUCCUCUCUCUCUUUCUCUCUCUCUCCUUCUAUCCUCCC
rnacentral:lncRNA from 1 species